GAUGAUCCCAACUACGUGGAUGAGAGGAAAUCUUCUGUUGAUGAUCCCAAUUGCCUUAAGGAGAAGAAAUCUUCUGCUUCACCAUUUAAAGGUGAAUUUGACCUGAAUGCUAAGCCAGAUAGGGACGACGAGCUUUCACCAGGCUCUGAUUCUGGUAGCAUGAUGCGCAUGAUCAAACGUGCUGCUGAGCAAUAUGUCAGGCACUGUGAUAAUGGAAGUUCCGUGGGUAACCAAAGAGAUGGAGAUGGUGCUGGGGAGACAAAUCCGGGUAAUUGUGUUAUUGUUAGUGGUAGUCAUCAAGCUGAUGUAGAUCAUAAUAGGCCUUUACCCAUAAGCGCUGCUGCAUCUUUGGCACCUAAUGACCAGUAAGUUGCUCCCUACAUGAGGCACCUAAAUUAGCUGUGCUAUAUUAAAAACCAGAGGUACUCCGCAGUGUAUGGAAAUUUGUACAUUUUGGCUUUGCUGGCGUCAUGCAUUGUACAUAGAUAGACGUAGCAAGUAGCAACUGAUGUAAUCUUUCUGCAAUCCACAGGUUGCAUUUUGCAAUGGCCGCG
rnacentral:misc_RNA from 1 species